rnacentral:lncRNA from 1 species
AUGGAACAGGCACAGUUAUUUACACCUAAGAGGAGGGGAGUCCACGGGAUCCACACUGUAACCAGGAUAACACCAUACCUGUCUCAACACCCAGGAGAAACAGCAUGUGAAUACACAACUGCAGCAGCUGGCAGAUACAUUCAGGAAAACAACUGGUCCCUGUCAACACCACCCAACCUUCCGAGGCCAAACAAGCAGUUACAAAGUAACAAAUAAAGCCCCGUGUUUUGUUUUGCCAAUAGCCUUCUGUGUUUUCCCCAUCCUCUUUUGUUCAGAAUGUGCAACACCAUUAAAAGGACCUGAUUAGAACAAAGGAACAGGGAUCACUGUAACAAUUAUGAUAGAAAUGAAAAUGCAUAAUAAACCCCCCCAAAAUCAGGAAAAUAAUGUCA